CCUACGGGGGGCUGCAGUGGGGAAUAUUGGACAAUGGGGGGAACCCUGAUCCAGCCAUGCCGCGUGUGUGAAGAAGGCCCUCGGGUUGUAAAGCACUUUCAGUGAGGAAGAACGCCUGGUGGUUAAUACCCAUCAGGAAAGACAUCACUCACAGAAGAAGCACCGGCAUAACUCCGUGCCAGCAGCCGCGGUAAUACGGAGGGUGCGAGCGUUAAUCGGAAUUACUGGGCGUAAAGCGCGCGUAGGUGGCUUGAUAAGCCGGUUGUGAAAGCCCCGGGCUCAACCUGGGAACGGCAUCCGGAACUGUCAAGCUAGAGUGCAGGAGAGGAAGGUAGAAUUCCCGGUGUAGCGGUGAAAUGCGUAGAGAUCGGGAGGAAUACCAGUGGCGAAGGCGGCCUUCUGGACUGACACUGACACUGAGGUGCGAAAGCGUGGGUAGCAAACAGGAUUAGAUACCCUUGUAGUC
rnacentral:rRNA from 1 species